rnacentral:lncRNA from 1 species
UGGCAUAUCUAUUCCAUGUUCUUCUUCUUCUUCUGAUAAUCCGAAUGAAUUAAGGCUAAUGUUAUACAUGGAAAUUAUUGAGUCUCCAGAUUCCAAAUCAUACCUUGACCUGCUUAACUCCAAUUCAGCUUCCUUUGAGAAUUCUUUAGCUUCAUAUUCUGAAGUUUCUUCCAAGUCAGUCUGUUUGAUAUCAUCCAAGGCCUUUGGUGUCUCCUCUUCCGCUGAUUUUAUUGAUUCGUUAAGCCCACUCUCCCAAAAAGAAAAAGAAACAAUUAAGCCCUCAAAUUCUGAAUCAUACCUAGGGUUACAGUCUGGCACU